UACGGAGGGGGCUAGCGUUUUUCGGAAUUACUGGGCGUAAAGCGCACGUAGGCGGACUGGAAAGUCAGAGGUGAAAUCCCAGGGCUCAACCUUGGAACUGCCUUUGAAACUCCCGGUCUUGAGGUCGAGAGAGGUGAGUGGAAUUCCGAGUGUAGAGGUGAAAUUCGUAGAUAUUCGGAGGAACACAAGUGGCGAAGGCGGCUCACUGGCUCGAUACUGACGCUGAGGUGCGAAAGCGUGGGGAGGAAACAGC
rnacentral:rRNA from 1 species